UACGGAGGGGGCUAGCGUUGUUCGGAAUUAUUGGGCGUAAAGAGCUCGUAGGCGGUGUGUCACGUCGGCCGUGAAAACCUGGGGCUUAACUCUGGGCGUGCGGUCGAUACGGGCAUCACUAGAGUUCGGCAGGGGAGACUGGAAUUCCUGGUGUAGCGGUGAAAUGCGCAGAUAUCAGGAAGAACACCGGUGGCGAAGGCGGCUCUCUGGGCCUUACCUGACGCUGAGGAGCGAAAGCGUGGGUAGCGAACAGG
rnacentral:rRNA from 1 species